rnacentral:misc_RNA from 1 species
ACCCUAGGAAUUCAUGAAAGUUGCAAUCGAUUAAACAAACCACUUCGCUUUUAUCGAAGUCUAAGAUUUUAACAGCAAAAUUGUAAUUCAAAAAAACUUAUAAUACAUCAAGUCUGCGGGCAAAAAUACCACAACAUAUAAAUAGCAACUCAUCUACCUAAGGACAUUGGAGAUCUAAGAUUCAGCAAUAGUGACCUCAACCUCAACACCGGGUUCAAUGGUGAUUGAAGUGAUUUGUUUCACAACAUCUGGUGAGCUGAAAAGGUCAAUCACCCGCUUGUGGACACGAAGCUCAAAUCUGUCCCAUGUA